AAAGAAAAAAAAAAAAAAAGAAAGAAAAAUGCCUAAGGACACAGCGCAUGAAGGAAGGGUCGAGAUUGGAACCCAGGACCGUCAGAGUUCAUACCUUGUGCUGAUUCUCCAUCCGGGACGCCAGACACAUGGAUCCCUUUCCCCUGCUUUCUGGUGUUGUUUUGGCACAAGCUCUCCCAUCCCUGGGGCAGGUGGCCAUCCUGCCUCCGCAUCCUGAGCGUCUGUUUCCCUCGGGGAUCUGCCAGACUCAGCCCCCUAACCCCAAGAAAAUCACUCACAAAAAUCAUCUGAGCUAAAUGCUUGCUUUGAAAGCUCAGACCUGGGGAUUGUAACUUUAGCCUCAUACCUUCUAAUGAAGGCCAUCUUAAAGCUCUACCAGUUUCAGCUGAGGGCCGAUCCAGCAGAUCCCAGUUGUUCCUAAAGACCUGGUUGCUAGCUCCUCUGAGACUGGGGUGGGGUGGGUGUCCCAAGGUGAUGACCAGGAGAAAAGAGAGCGUCUUCCUCCCAGUCACAUCCCAAGAUUCGUGACCGAGCGCGGUGGCUCACGCCUGUAAUUCCAGCACUUUGGGAGACCGAGGCAGGUGGAUCACGAGGUCAGGAGUUCGAGACCAGCCUGGUCAACAUGGUGAAACCCUAUCUAUUCUAAAAAUACAAAAAAUUAGCCAGGCACGGUGGCAGGCACCUGUAAUCCCAGCUACUUGGGAGGCUGAGGAAGGAGAAUCGCUUGAACCCGGGAGAUGGAGGUUGCAGUGAGCCGAGAUUGCACCACUGCACUCCAGCCUGGGCAACAGAGCAAGACUCUGUCUCAAAACAAAACAAAACAAACAAACAAACAAACAAACAAAAAACUAAAAACAUCAAGAUACGCUCUGAUUGGACCAGCCUGGGUCCCAUGUUCUUCCAUGACCCAAUCCUAGUAGCCCAGGAGUGGGAUGUGCCAAUUGGCUUGGCCUGAGGAGGGCCCCCAGAGGGUCUGUAAUCCAUGUGUAACUGGAGUUGCUGUAAAAUGGGGCCAUCUGGCUGGGUGCGGUGGCUCACGCCUGUAAUCCCAACACUUUGGGAGGCCGAGGCGGGCGGAUCACGAGGUCAGGAGUUCAAGACCAUCCUGGCCAACAUGGCGAAAUCCCGUCUCUACUAAAAAUAGAAAAAUUAGCCACGUGUGGUGGCGGGUGCCUGUAGUCCCAGCUACUAGGGAGGCUGAGGUGGGAGAAUCACCUGAACCCAAGAAGUCGAGGCUGGAGUGAGCAGAGAUCACACCACUGCACUCCAACUUGGGUGACAGAGCAAGACUCUGUCUCCAAAAAAAAAUAAAAUAAAAUAACAGAGCCUGCUUAAGGGUGGUGGUGAGGAGGAGGGAGAGGAGGGUCGGGAGCGGUGGCUCACGCCUGUAAUCCUAGCACUUUGGAAGGCCGAGGUGUGUG
rnacentral:lncRNA from 1 species